UUGAGAUUCCUAGGUCAAAGCCUUCUGCAAAGUUAGUCGUCCCCCCUUCUAGUGAGAACGCCAAAUAGAAGAACACACAAAGAAGAAAUGGAGCAAGAGAUCCUCUAGAGAAUACACAUAAUGCAACAAGAACCCAAAGGAGAAUCCUGCCGUCAGCUCUGCUAUGAAAAACAACUCCGAUGACGAUACCCCAAUAAAAGCCACUGGAUGAGAUGAUGGAGGUUAUCCAUUCGAUUGGUAGUAGUGGUGUCCUGGCCACAAUGAAUCAUCCUAGUUUGAGCAGAUGAGUGCAUGGGCUUUCACUCUUAUGUAUGGGAGCCCUCAGAAUGUAUAUAGAAGAAAGGAAGAUCAUAUAGCCUGGGAGCACUCUUCAGAUGGAACUUUCAAUUUGAAAUCUGCCUAUCAAGUUAUCUAUGGCAAUUCAAGAUUAUUUGGAGGUGGAAAGGCCAAGAGAGGAUCCGUUCAUUCGUUUGGUUGGUUGGUAAUGGAGACAUCACUCAUAUUUAGCCCACUGCCCUUGCUAUAACAAUCAUGAGGAAUCUACUCUUCAUACUCUUCGGAAUUGCACAUACGCCAAACUUGUAUAGAACUAUUUCUACCCUCAAGGUGUGGUGGCUGAUUUGAGCAUUUGAGAUUGGUUGUUGAUCAAUCUUCAAGCGAAAGGAGAUUGACCAUAUAGAUUGGAACACUAAAUUAAGUCCUCUAUUAUAACAUAAUAAAAACUACAUCAUAUGCCAGAGAGUAAACUGGCCUA